GGGGGGGGGGGGGGGGGGGGCGGGGGGGGGGGGGGCGAGCGGGGGGGCGGGGGGCUGGCGGCGCGGGCGGGAGCGGCGGGCGGGUGAGUAACACGUGGAUGACCUACCUAUAAGACUGGGGUACCUUCGGGAAGCCGGAGCUAAUACCGGAUAAUAUAUUGAACCGCAUGGUUCAAUCGUGCAAGGCGGUUUUGCUGUCACUUAUCGCUGGAUCCGCGCCGCAUUAGCUAGUUGGUGAGGUAACGGCUUACCAAGGCAACGAUGCGUAGCCGGUCUGAGAGGAUGAUCAGCCACACUGGAACUGAGACACGGUCCAGACUCCUACGGGAGGCAGCAGUGGGGAAUAUUGGACAAUGGGCGCAAGCCUGAUCCAGCCAUACCGCGUGGGUGAAGAAGGCCUUCGGGUUGUAAAGCCCUUUUGUUGGGAAAGAAAAGCAGCAGGUGAAUACCCCGCUGUUCUGACGGUACCCAAAGAAUAAGCACCGGCUAACUUCGUG
rnacentral:rRNA from 1 species